AGUGAACGUUGGCGGCGUGGAUUAGGCAUGCAAGUCGAGCGAUCGUAGCAAUACGGGAGCGGCAAACGGGGUAGGAAUACAUCGGAACGUACCUUUUGGUUGAGAAUAGCGUUGGGAAACUGACGGUAAUACUCAAUAAAGUCGAGAGACCAAAGGUUUACUGCCGGAAGAGCGGCCGAUGCGAUAUUAGGUGGUUGGUGGGGUAAUGGCCUACCAAGCCUGAGAUGUCUAGGGGGUGUGAGAGCAUGGCCCCCACCACUGGGACUGAGAUACUGCCCAGACACCUACGGGUGGCUGCAGUCGAGGAUCUUCGUCAAUGGGCGAAAGCCUGAACGAGCGACGCCGCGUGCGGGAUGAAGGCCCUUGGGUUGUAAACCGCUGUCAGGGGGGAUGAAACCGUAAGGUUGACAGAGCCCCAGAGGAAGCACGGGCUAAGUCGUGCCAGCAGCCGCGGUAAU
rnacentral:rRNA from 1 species